AGGAAUCAUCCUGCCUCCACCUCCGAAGUGCUGGGCUUAAACCCCAGGCCCGUCUGCCCAGGGAUGGCACCACCCACAGCGGUUGGGCCCUUCUACAUCAAGAAAAUGCACCAUGGACAUUCCCACGGGCCCAUCUGCUGGAGGAAAUUCCUCAGCUGAGAUUCUCUGUUCCCAGGAGUGUCAAGGUAUAUGCACAUGAAUGCAGGUAUCCUUGGGAUCUUGAAGAAGGCAUUGGAUCGCCUGGAGCUGGAGUUAUAGGAAGUUGUGAGCCUUCCAACAUGGGUGCUGGGAACCAAGCUGUGUCCUCUUAACCAGUGCAAGAGCAGAAUGUGUUCUUAACUGUGAGCCAUCUCUCUAGACCCAUCCCCUUUCUACUUUUCUCCCUCUCUCUCUCCCUCUCUCUCAUGUACACACAAGUACACACAUACACACACAAUUAUAAUUUAGAUCUACAGUCUUCAUGUGAGAGAAAAUAUGUGUCCUUGAAUCUGACUUAUUUCACUCAAUGUGAUCUCAGUUGCAUCCAUUUUCCUGGAAAUACCAUGAUUUAUUUUUCUGUACAGCUGAAUAAAAUUCCAUGUGUAUAUGCUGUAAUACCUUCAGAAAAAUGUCAUGCAGUUUUGGGUAGAAUCAAGAGUCGUUUAUUAGCCAGCAGUUGAGAGAAGGUUAAAUAGCUCAAAGAACUCUCAACCUCAUAGGGGAGGAAGAGUGGGGUUUAUAAAGCUUAAAACCAUAAUUACAUCAUGCCAGAGGCAGAGUCAAUAACCGUUGUUACAUUAGAUCAACAUAGCUACACCAAACCAGGGGUAGGUCAGUCAACAAAGAGGUUUUCAGUUAACACAGAGUUUUGGUUAGGAAAAGCAAGUUUCUCAGUAUUGCAGAAACAAUGAGCCUCAUGGAGCUGUAGGUAUAGUUGGGUAAGACGUGCUACUGGGCUAGUUGGAAGUUUCCCAGUAUUGUAGAAACAAUAAGACCAUAGGUGCAGCCUUCAUGGGACCCGUUCUGCCUGGCAGACUACAGUUAGAGUAGGGGCAGUGGCUAGGCAGAAACACAGUGAAGCAGAAGUCAGAAUAAAAUGGAGUCAGCUUUGCCAUUUCAAUACCACAUAAUCUUUAACCAUUCAUCUGUUGAUGGACAUCUAGGCUGGUUCUACUUCUUAGCUGCUGUAAAUAGUGAAGCAAUGAAUGUGGUUGUGCAAGUAUCUCUGUAUUAUGUUGACUUAGAGUGCUCCGCACACAUACCCAAGAGUAGCCGGGUCAUAUGGUGGUUCUAUUUUUAGUGUUGGGGGAGCCUCCACACUGAUUUCCACAGUGAGUGCAGUAGUCUAUAUUUUCUUCAUAAGAGUUCAUCUUUUACCUUCACUCUCCCCAGGAUUUGUUGUUUUUUUUUUCUUGAUGAGAACCAUUCUGAAUGGCAAGACGAAUCUUAAGACAUUGUCAAUUUGCAUUUCCCUGAUUGAUGAAGGAUGCGGGCCAUUUUUGUUUCUUCUUUGGAAGGCUAUCUAUUUAGUUCAUUAGUCCAUUUAUUCACUGGGUGGACUUUUUGGCGUUUAAUUUUUGUAGUUAUUUAUAUCCUCUGCAUAUUGAGCUCCUGUCUCAUCUAUAGUUGAUCAAUCCCUUUUCCCAUUCUGUGGGGUGUAUCUUCAUUCUACUGGUGGUUUCCUUUGCUGUGCAGAUGCUCUUUAAUGUGAUCACAUUUUUGUUCAUCCUUUGAUUACUUUCUGUGCCACUGUUGACGUUCUUCAGAAGGUCCUUGCCUCAAUCUUGAAGUGUUUUGUUUAUGUUCUCCCCUGAAGUUUCAAAGUUUCAGGUCUUCUAGUAAGGUUUUUAAUAAGCUAAUGUUUUCUGUUAUCCCUAAACAAAUAGCACACAGAUAUAUCAUUUGUUUUAGCAUUAUUUUAUUAUCAUCUAGAUAAUCAUUUCUGGAUUUGUUCCUAUUGAUUAAAUUUCUCUUCAUUAUAUACCAUAUUUUUCUAUCUUUGCCUACUGGGUAAUUUUUAAUGAAAUGGUAGUGUGGAUUCUAACUUGUUACAUCUGGAUAUGCUUGUAUUUUCAUAUUCACUGUUGGAAUUUAGUAUGGGACUCAGUUAUUGACUUGGGAAAUGAGCUCAACCCUUUUGAGGAGUUCCUAUUAUGCACUGCGUCAUAAGUAUCUAUUCAAGUCAUAUGUCUAUUUUGUAUUAGAUUGUUUAGCUCUGCAUUGAUGACGUAAGCAUAGUCACACAUGCAUAUAUAUGCACACACAUGUGUGUAUAUAUGUUGAAGAUCUCUUUUCCCGGCAUGUAGCAUGUUUUUUACUCACUCCCAAAUCUCUGUUCCUAAAAGCAACAUAAUAAACAUUUCUCUCCUAGAACAUGUUUUUCUGUGUUGCAAUAGGAAGAUAAAUGGCUGUUUAAGAAGACGAAGGUCUAAUGUUGAACUUUCCAUUCCUAGUUCCUGGGUAAAGAAGUUCACAUCUGCCCUUCCUGGAAUUUCUUCAAUCAUAGCACAACCAUGUCAUCCAUCCAGCUUGCUGCUGAGAUUGAUGGAUUCUGAGUGUGGAAAAGUAGAGAUGAGUGUUCCCUGCAUGACAUGUGUUUACCUAGAGUGGGCCACAUAAGGUAGUACAGAAAGAAAAAAAUCCCCAGAGAUCACUCACCAAAACCAUCAUAAAAUAAAUUUGCCAGUGUUCCUGGUUAUUAAAAACGUAGAUUUGAAGAAUGUUUAUUCAGACAUGAAAACACCUAGAGGAAUACUUUCCUAGAAAUAUGAAUCAUCCAUUACUUUGACUUUUCAUUUAAGAAAGGAAAUGAAUAUUUCUGUCUAAAUGCAUCCAAUGGGAGCAUAUUAUAUUGGCUAUUUGUAUUUCAAAGGGGAAAGAAUUAAUUAAAUGUCUUCAAUUUAAUCAUCCCAUAUUAGAUAGCUUCCAUGUCUCUGCCUAAAUUAUUUACAAAUAUUCACUGUAUCUACAUUGUAAUCAUUGGAGAUUCAACCCUUUAUUUUACCUAACCUACAUCCUAGAUAACAUUAAUUUGUUUACCCACCCAGAAUUGUUGGCCAAUGCCAUGAGCUGAGCAGUAGGAUACAGAACGUGCUACACUAGGUAGUUUCUCACCCAAAGGAACUUAUCAUGUGAGUAAAUAAGCAACUUUAUUCACUAUCCUGAACACUAGUAACGCCUUUCCACAGUGGGCGCUGGUGGUCUACCCUGUCCUAGUCUGCUGUAGCCUGAAGGAUGAGAUGAAAUUUUAAAAUGCUGCAUAUUAACAUAUAAUAAAGUCUGUGAAGUCACUCUGUGGCAUUAUUGUCUUUUCCAAAUGAACACUUCCAAGCAUUAAGUGUAAUUGUGUUUAAUCUGAAUGUAAAAUUUGGAAGAAGCAGGGAAAAAUAAAUCUGUAGAGAAUACACCAGAUCCUUACAAAAGACUGUAUAAACGAAGGAGUGUUUUACCAGUAAUCAUCACCAUCAUCAGCAUCACCAUCAUCACCAUCAUCAUCAGCAUCAUCACUCAAACAGUCAUUAUUUAUGCAUCACUUCUGUCCUGGUGACCUAUGUAUGUUGAAACUUAGUACCCAUAAUGACUCUGUUGAAGGUCUUGCUGCUAGUGACUGGUAUAGCAAGGACUCGAUCAAAAACUAUUAUCUCCCUAAAGGCAUGCUUUUGCUACUCUGCUAGGGUCUCUAGAGACUUUUGUGGAUAGUACAUACCAACCCAGUAAAGUGGAAAUCAAGCUGCUCUCUGAAGGUGGAACUUAAGCACAGAGGCCCUCAAGGGACAUGCCCAAGGUUCUGGCAGACAGACAGAGGUCACAAGGGAUAUGUUCAAGUCUGACAGACAGGAUGGCUGCUACCUAGAAACUAAAUGGAUGUUAAAAUGCUAGAUAAUUUAAAGACUAUGAAAGUUGUUAUUCAGAAAGCUCAAGUCUGAGGACCUAGGAAGAAUACUCAGAGGUUAAAGUGGUGGGGAGUGGUGAGCAGCCUGGAGGUGUUGCUUGGUGCCUUCCAUUCAUUACGUUAGCUGAGCAACAUGAAACCAAACUUGAACAUAUCAUCGCUCUUGGUAGGUUGAAGAUAGCUGAGAUUUGUCACCCCAAAUAUGCAAAUUUAACAUAAAAUUAUUUUGAGUUGAAGACAAUUGAGAAACAACAUAUUCAGAAAAACUCUCUACUGUUUCCUUGUGUAUCUAAAAGCAGGACAUAAAUUUCCUUUGAGAGAGAGGGCUUCAAACCAUCAAGAAGAGAACAACUUCAGCACUGGGAUGGGGAGUCACAAGAACAAGACCUUACCCCCAGCUUUCUUUAUAUAUUUCCUAGUCACUUCCCACAAAUUUACCAUUAUUUGUAAACUUUUUAUUGAAUUUUUGUGUAUUUCAUACAGAGCAUCUUAAUCAUCUUUAUACCCCCUUCCCCACUGGCA